UACGGGGGGGGCAAGCGUUGUUCGGAAUUACUGGGCGUAAAGGGGACGUAGGCGGCCAACUAAGUCCGACGUGAAAUCCCAAGGCUUAACCUUGGAACUGCGUCGGAUACUGGAUGGCUUGAAUUCGGGAGAGGGAUGCAGAAUUCCAGGUGUAGCGGUGAAAUGCGUAGAUAUCUGGAAGAACACCAGUGGCGAAGGCGGUCAACUGGCCCGUAACUGACGCUCAGGCACGAAAGCGUGGGUAGCGAACAGG
rnacentral:rRNA from 1 species